UAAGACCCACGGUCCCCAUCUGCCCCACAGAUGGUGUGCCCCAGCUCUGCCACUCGAUCAUGUGGGCAACGCGACCCUGGGCCAUGGCAGUGGGCUUGGUCACUUUGUCCUUCAUGGAGCGAGUCACGCCUACAACAGGGUCUACAGCUGAGAAGUGAUACAUGGCUCAGUAAUAUUCUGAGCCCCGGGGAGAGCGGCUCUGUGGCCUUGCUUGCUGUUCUGCUUUCCUCAAGGCAUACUGUAAUUCCAACAUGACAAUGGAUGGGAGCAAAUCUCUGCAGCCAGGCUCCAAACUCCGGUGGAAAGUGGGAAACUAGAAGAGUGGAGGCUGUUAAAGCUCGAGAUGCACCGAUCAAUCGGCCAAUUCCAGUCACAGGUCAGAGAUGCUCAUGGCCACCUAUCAAUCAAAAAUAUUGACCAGAUGCCUCACUCCGUGUAUCCAUCACCCUCUGGCUUGGCUGGCUAGAUCACACAAUCCAUCUACAAAAGUUGUCCAACUCCAGCUGCACUUUGCUACAUCAGCACAAUUAUUGUAAACAAAAAGAGCAGCAGUGUAGAAGAAGAAGACAUCCGGCCUCAAACGACCUCCAUGCUGCGCUGCUCGCUGUCAGCCACUGGCUCGGAUUUGGAGGGAGAUUUGUCGGAGUGAGAGCGGUUGCUGGAAGCUGUUCUUCCAGACAAAAAGGCUCAGGCUUUCAGAGUCUCUGAUGAAGACAGAUUGUGAAAGAAGUCACCCCCAACAUGUUUAUUCUCUCCAGAGGGGAGCAGCCUUUUCUGCAUUAUUUUUUAUUUUAAAUGACAGAGGUAUUAUCAAUCAUUUGACGGUGCUCCGCAUGUAGAUAUUUGCUGCUAAAACCAAAAACACCUCAAACCACAAAUCAACGCGCCCGUUUUUUUGCCUCGCAAAUGUCAUCUGCUUUUAGUUGUGUUGCUGGAAGCAGCUAGAAGUUAGAGCCAUGCCCAAACAUUUCUUCUGUGGUGAGUUUUGGCAAUAUGUCUAGUCCAGGGGUGUCAAACUCACUUUAGUUCAUGGGCCACAUAACACUAAUUUGAUCUCAAGUGGGCCAGACCUUUAAACCACUCCAGAAACUUUAUCUGCCGCAGACUUUCUUGUCAGCUUGAUGUUGGCAAACGCCAAGUUGCUUCUGCUACGACAGCGUUCUAAGGCCAUUGUAGGAAAAACAAUUAUGUUAGGGGAGAGAGGGCUAAUAUUCCGAGAAAAAACUCAGAACUUCUAAGAUUAAAGUCGUAAAUUUACGGAAAAAGAACUCGGAUAUUCUCUGAGAUUUAAGUGGUAAAUUUAGAAUUGGAAUAAAAGACUUCUCUGCAUUUUUUUUUACACUUUGCAAAGUCAUGCAGUGGGCCUGAUUGGACCCUUUGGCAGGCCCGUUCUGGCCCACGGGCCGUAUGUUUGAAGCCCCUGGUCUAGUCGACAACGGUCUACUCUGAAUAAAAAAAGAAGACAGAGAGGUGCUGUUGAAAGCUGCAGAAAAAGCUAGCAAGUGCAGUGAAGAUUUUUAUAUACGAACAUAUCAAACUACUGUUUCCGAGGUCAACUGAAUUCUAAUUCUGGCAUGUUGUUUUUGAAACUAAGGUUAAUUCUGUUGCGGUCUCAGAAAUGUCUUGUUAUUCAUUCACAGUAAAAUAUGCCUAAAGUUGGGUGAGUGUUCCUUAAAGGUCCAGUG